AGUGUAUGCGCCGUGGUGGGAAGUUAAAGUCACGGAGGAAAUUAAAAAGUUCUUUCCUUUAUAGGGAAAGAAAUGAUCUUCCGUUUCUCCUUCGCCACCGUCCACUACGAGCGCUACGUCGGAGCCGAACGUCACGUCUGGCGCUUUCCUUUUUUGUUCUUGCUUGUGGACACCCUAUAUUUCCGGUUGUCUCGGCUGCGCUUUUCUUGUCUGGCCGCGCAGUCUUCGCCUCGCUGCUGCGAAGUUGGCGCUGUGGCGCGAUGGACCCUGCGCUGCGCUCCCGUCUCGAAAGGCUCGCAAGGGUGGUGGACCCGUACGGCGACACGCCACGUCGACUUACCACCGCGGGAGAUGACGCCCCAGCGUCGCCGCCCUCGCCGGACCGUGGCGAUGACAUACGUUGGUGUGCCUGUUGGCUGUGCGUGGCGAGUUCAAGCGCGGAGGAAAACGUUUGCUGCCGGGAUGUGGCCGAAGUCGUUGCCAAAGGCACCGACGACUGCAUCACCCGUCACUCGUAUUUCCCCAGCAUCUGCCUCAAUCCCGGCGUCCUCGAGGCGGCGUUCUACGCGUUCCAGGAGCUCGGCGUGCGAGUGCAGGGAGAGCUGCACGAAAAGUACCGCGUCGUUGCCUAUCGCCUCUUCACAAAGUGGAUAUGGAAACGACUGGGCAGGUGGGAUCAAGUCGUGCUGCCUGCAUGUGUUGUGGAACGCAUCCGACAAGAGUUUCCCUCGGCCGCGUACGUCGGUUUCCUGCACCCUCGUCUGGAGGACUGAAGGACUUCGCCAUAACCGCAGCUUCGUCGUUGAUAUUUUCAAUACCGCCACGUGCACGGCCAACUUGUUUUAUGCCUGUCCGCUGCGCGCAGUGCAGCAUUGAGAGGUUAAUUUGCCUCGGGCCCCCACUGAUGAUGAUUACGAUUUGCCGAUCCACUCAAUGUCCAAUCACACAACGUUAUCAAUCCAUUUCAAUCAUGGAAACUAUUCGGCUACUAUUAAACCUUUUUUUUGUUUUUUUUAAAAUUUUUUUACGAAGUUUGGUGGGAGAACGCCCCCUGGAUGGGAUGUUACAACUUCGAGUGACUAAUGUAUACUUUCGAGGGGGUGAGGGGCUCUCUGAAAUUAUUGACGCGAACUUGUCAAGGAAACAUUUAGUGGGACCUCCUGGCAAUCGGGGGCUGCAGCCCCAUUAGCCCAUAGGUUAAUCCGGCCCUGACUGUGCGCGCUUAUCGCAGUUUGCAAAACUAUAUCGUACAUUAAAAAUGAAUUCGUUUUGAAUAAAGGUAUGAUAAACUUUA